GAUGAACGCUGGCGGCGUGCUUAACACAUGCAAGUCGAACGGGAAAUCUUUCAUUGAGACUUCGGUGGAUUUGAUUUAUUUCUAGUGGCGGACGGGUGAGUAACGCGUGGGUAACCUGCCUUAUACAGGGGGAUAACAGUCAGAAAUGGCUGCUAAUACCGCAUAGCGCACAGAGCUGCAUGGCUCAGUGUGAACAACUCCGGUGGUAUAAGAUGGACCCGCGUUGGAUUAGCUAGUUGGUGGGGUAACGGCCCACCAAGGCGACGAUCCAUAGCCGGCCGGGGAGGGUGAACGGCCACAUUGGGACUGAGACACGGACCAGACUCCUACGGGAGGCAGCAGUGGGGAAUAUUGCACAAUGGGGGCAACCCUGAUGCAGCGACGCCGCGUGAGGGAAGAAGUAUCUCGGUAUGUAAACUUCUAUGAGCAGGGAAGAUAGUGACGGUACCUGACGAAGAAGCCCCGGCUAACUACGUG
rnacentral:rRNA from 1 species